GCCAGAGGUCAUCCUAAAGUGUUAUCAGAGCCCAGAUUAGCUUGCCCAGGCCACUGCUGCCAGAAAUUCUGCUACAAGCCUAUGGGCCAAGGAAGGAAGGAGAGAGGGAGAACAUUCAAAGGUCACAGGGAGAAGGACAAGAUGGUUCUUCAGAUGCUGAGGGAGAAUCUUCCUGUCACAAGGAGUUCUGAGCAUGACCAACGUGGAGAUAUUUCUUGCACGAUCACACACGGAUAGCCCUCGGUCAAGUUGCUCGCCCUCUCAGGGAGGAGGUAGAAAGAGGAAGGAAAAGAACAUGAAACUCAAAAAUUUUGAAAAUGAAUGUUAAAAUUGUUAUUCCAUGGAAUUGGGGGAAAUAUUGUAUUAAGUUUUAAAAGGGGCUUUUCCUGGUUUCCCCAGAAACUGCCUUUCUACACAAGGUUACCUUGGAAUGCUUGGCAUGUGAUUUAUAUAUGAACAUAGACACACACACAUCUACAUACUGCCUCCUCCAUUGAAAUGUACGCUCCUUUUUUCUUUUUAAACCCUUUCCAUCUGUCUUAGAAUCAAUACUAAAUAUUGGUUCCAAGGCAGAAGAGAGAUAGGAUUAGGCAAUAGGAUCAAAUGAUUUACGCAGGGUCACACAACUAGAUGUGUCUUAGGUCAGAUUUGAACCCAGCACCUCCCAUCUUCAGAUCUGGCUCUCAAUCUACUGAGACACCUCACUGCUCCACAUAAGCUCAUUUGGGUUAAGAAUUGAUUUACUUUUCUCACUAAAUCUCUAGAACUUAGACAUAUAGUAGAUGUUUAAUAAGUGCUUCUCCAUUGAUUGAUGGUCCCUUAAAUUCAUUCCUUCUCCUAACUCCCCCAUUUCUGCCAGGGGAACCAUUCUCUUUUUAGUCACCCAGGUUUGUGGCUUCUGAGAAAGCCUUACCCUCCCUCCCUGCUCCCUACCCACUCCAAAUUCAAUUGCUUGCCAGGUCUUACUGAUUUUUAUCUCCACAACAUUUUUCACAUCUAUCCCUUUCUUUAUUUUUUUAAACUCCUAUUUAAUAUUGUAGUAGAAAUACUAGUCAUAGGAAUAAAAGCAGAAAAAGAAAUUGAGGGAAUUAGAAU
rnacentral:lncRNA from 1 species